rnacentral:rRNA from 2 species
CAAUGGGCGAAAGCCUGAUCCAGCAAUGCCGCGUGAGUGAUGAAGGCCUUAGGGUUGUAAAGCUCUUUUACCAGGGAUGAUAAUGACAGUACCUGGAGAAUAAGCUCCGGCUAACUCCGUGCCAGCAGCCGCGGUAAUACGGAGGGAGCUAGCGUUGUUCGGAAUUACUGGGCGUAAAGAGUACGUAGGCGGUGAUUCAAGUCAGAGGUGAAAGCCUGGAGCUCAACUCCAGAACUGCCUUUGAAACUAGAUCGCUAGAAUUGUGGAGAGGUUAGUGGAAUUCCGAGUGUAGAGGUGAAAUUCGUAGAUAUUCGGAAGAACACCAGUGGCGAAGGCGACUAACUGGACACAUAUUGACGCUGAGGUACGAAAGCGUGGGGAGCAAACAGGAUUAGAUACCCUGGUAGUCCACGCCGUAAACGAUGAUAACUAGCUGUUCGGGGUCUACGAUCCUGAGUGGCGCAGCUAACGCAUUAAGUUAUCCGCCU